rnacentral:tRNA from 1 species
UGGCUCAGUCGGUAGAGCUCUGGACUCUUGAUCUAGGGGUUGUGAGUUCGAGCCCCAC